rnacentral:misc_RNA from 1 species
GAUGAAGAACGCAGCGAAAUGCGAUAAGUAAUGUGAAUUGCAGAAUUCAGUGAAUCAUCGAAUCUUUGAACGCACCUUGCGCUCCUUGGUAUUCCGAGGAGCAUGCCUGUUUGAGUGUCAUUAAUAUAUCAACCUUCUCUUUUUUGAGUUGUUUGGAUGUGGGGGUUUGCUGGCCUCUUAAAUGAUUCAGCUCCCCUGAAAUGCAUUAGCAGAACAACCCGUUCAUUAGCGUGAUAAUUAUCUAUGCUAUUGAAUGUGAGGGCAGUUCAGCUUUCUAACCGUCCUUGGACAAUUCAUCAUUAAUGUGACCUCAAAUCAGGUAGGACUACCCGCUGAACUUAAGCAUAUCAAUAAGCGGAGGA